AGUGAACGCUGGCGGUAGGCCUAACACAUGCAAGUCGAACGGCAGCACAGUAAGAGCUUGCUCUUACGGGUGGCGAGUGGCGGACGGGUGAGGAAUACAUCGGAAUCUACUUUUUCGUGGGGGAUAACGUAGGGAAACUUACGCUAAUACCGCAUACGACCUACGGGUGAAAGCAGGGGAUCUUCGGACCUUGCGCGAUUGAAUGAGCCGAUGUCGGAUUAGCUAGUUGGCGGGGUAAAGGCCCACCAAGGCGACGAUCCGUAGCUGGUCUGAGAGGAUGAUCAGCCACACUGGAACUGAGACACGGUCCAGACUCCUACGGGAGGGAGCAGUGGGGAAUAUUGGACAAUGGGCGCAAGUCUGAUCCAGCCAUACCGCGUGGGUGAAGAAGGCCUUCGGGUUGGAAAGCCCUUUUGUUGGGAAAGAAAAGCAGCAGGUUAAUACCCCGCUGUUCUGACGGUACCCAAAGAAUAAGCACCGGCUAACUUCGUG
rnacentral:rRNA from 1 species